rnacentral:tRNA from 1 species
UAAAAAGAUAAGCUAAGUUUAAGCUAGUGGGCUCAUACCCCAACAAUGAAUACAUUUUCUCUUUUUAA